UACGUAGGUGGCAAGCGUUGUCCGGAUUUAUUGGGUUUAAAGGGUGCGUAGGCGGCCCUGCAAGUCAGUGCUGAAAUAUCCCGGCUUAACCGGGAGGGUGGCAUUGAUACUGCGGGGCUAGAGUACAGAUGAGGUAGGCGGAAUUGACGGUGUAGCGGUGAAAUGCUUAGAUAUCGUCAAGAACACCUAUAGCGAAGGCAGCUUACUAGGCUGUAACUGACGCUGAGGCACGAAAGUGUGGGGAUCAAACAGG
rnacentral:rRNA from 1 species